rnacentral:rRNA from 1 species
AACGAACGCUGGCGGCAUACCUAACACAUGCAAGUCGAACGAGAUCUUCGGGUCUAGUGGCGCACGGGUGCGUAACGCGUGGGAAUCUGCCCUUUGGUUCGGAAUAACAGUUGGAAACGACUGCUAAUACCGGAUGAUGACGAAAGUCCAAAGAUUUAUCGCCAGAGGAUGAGCCCGCGUAGGAUUAGCUAGUUGGCGUGGUAAAGGCGCACCAAGGCGACGAUCCUUAGCUGGUCUGAGAGGAUGAUCAGCCACACUGGGACUGAGACACGGCCCAGACUCCUACGGGAGGCAGCAGUGGGGAAUAUUGGACAAUGGGCGAAAGCCUGAUCCAGCAAUGCCGCGUGAGUGAUGAAGGCCUUAGGGUUGUAAAGCUCUUUUACCCGGGAUGAUAAUGACAGUACCGGGAGAAUAAGCUCCGGCUAACUCCGUGCCAGCCGCCGCAGUAACAC